rnacentral:rRNA from 1 species
GCGCGAAAACUUUACAAUGCUGGCAACAGCGAUAAGGGAACCUCGAGUGCCAGGUUACAAAUCUGGCUGUCGAGAUGCCUAAAAAGCAUUUCAUAGCAAGGGCCGGGCAAGACCGGUGCCAGCCGCCGCGGUAACACCGGCGGCUCGAGUGGUAACCGUUAUUAUUGGGUCUAAAGGGUCUGUAGCCGUCCGGAUAAGUCUCUUGAGAAAUCUGGCAGCUUAACUGUCAGGCUUUCAGGAGAUACUGUCUGGCUCGAGGCCGGGAGAGGUGAGAGGUACUUCAGGGGUAGGGGUGAAAUCUUGUAAUCCUGGAAGGACCACCAGUGGCGAAGGCGUCUCACCAGAACGGACCUGACGGCAAGGGACGAAAGCUAGGGGCACGAACC